rnacentral:piRNA from 1 species
UCGGUGACACUAGUGAAUCUCGAUGUG